rnacentral:rRNA from 1 species
CUCUUCUUGUAGUGGAAUAUGAGGUAUAACCUGCUCAAUGAAUAUUUAAAUAGCCGCGGUAUAUUGACCGUGCAAAGGUAGCAUAAUCAUUAGUCUUUUAAUUGUAGGCUGGAAUGAAUGGUUGGACGAGAUAAGAUCUUUCUUAAAUUUAUGAAUUUGAAUUUAAUUUUUGUGUUAAAAAGCUCAAAUUUUUUUUUGGGACGAGAAGACCCUAUAGAGUUUUAUAAUUGAUAUAUUUUUUGGUAUUUGAUAUUAUGGAAAAUUGUAUUAAUUAUUUUGUUGGGGUGAUGUGAAGAUAUAAUUAACUCUUUUUAUUGUUGUUUAUGAAUUAAUAUUUUUUUGAUCCAUUAUUAGUGAUUAAAAGACUAAAUUACCUUAGGGAUAACAGCGUAAUUUUUUUUGAGAGUUCUUAUCGACAAAUAAGGAUUGCGA